CAUCUUAUCACUGCAUAAAAAAGCCAAUUGGUAGUUGAAUGAAAAUAUGUCUUCUAGAAAGUGCAAUUGACAGCAGACAGAAACAGCUUUCAGGAUAGUAGGAUAAAAAGAAAACAUCGCCCCAGGCUUAUGUUCAAGACAAAGAGUGAUUCAUGGCAUGGUGAGCUCCCAUCAUUUGCAUCCUCUGGACAAUGGUGAUGGCACCUGCUAACCCUUUCAACCUAUUUUAAGACUGUGCAAUUCUUGAGCAGUUUUCCAUGACUCUCCCUUCAAUGUUACGCUAUGGAACAGGGCUGAAAGAUAUAAAGGCGGUUUGUAUCAGAAUGCUGAUCAGGAUGGCUGGCAAAGAUAAUUACUGUCAGAAAUCCAAAUGCU